rnacentral:lncRNA from 1 species
AUGGCUUUAACAAAGUCUGGGAACCUCAGGCAGGCUUUUAUGGGAUGGGAAGAAAAUGAAGAGACACGGAGGGAUGUGAACUCAGACUUGACAGGCAGGCAUAAAGACUGUUGCAGCCAGUUUUCAAACUCAGCCCCAAUUUCAAAACUGAAGACUGUUAUCCUGCUUCACACUGCCAAUGAGAGAAACAGAGCUAAAAUUAAAGAGAGAUUAAUCUAGCUGCAUUAAAGACACAAGCCAGAUUGGAGGCUGGGGUCAAGGGACUUGCCAUUGAAAUAAACAAGAGUGAGAUGAAUGUACAAGAUGAACCUGGAACAUCUUGUCACACCAGAAAGCAAGGAAACUAUCAAAGUGAACACAGGAGCCAAGCAGUUCCUACUGGCCAAGGACAAGGCAAUUCAGGCAUCAUUUAGGACAGUAACUGUCAGGGACUGACUGUAAGGGAUUAAGAGGCAUCGAAUAUGGUGAAGUCCAUGCCUUGAUAAUGAUGCUAAAAAAUUAUACUCCCAAUCGACCACUUUUGGAGGAUGUUAGAGAAACAACUCACUCUUUGGGAAACUGGUGUAACAAAAGAAUUGAAGAUUCGUUUUAUUUUUUUUCACAUGAAGUGUUACAUUUUGGAAGCAUUGCAGCUAAUAACAGAAAAAAAUUACGGGGUGAGAUCAUCACAGUUGGGCAGCCUCUAAUGAAUGAACAGAUCUGAGCGGUGAUCACUGAUGCCUCACAAAAAGAGCCUACCAGAUCCCCCCAGGCAGAAGCUGGGUGCCCCGGGCACCUCUGCAGACUUCCUUUCCUGAUUGCAGCCCUUCCCCACUGCCACAUGUGCCCCUGGGGCAGACCCCUGCAGGAUCUGGUGUCCCUGCAUGGAGGCUGACUACUGAUGAUGAAACUCGUUCCCCUAGAAGAUUUUGGAAAGCCAGGAUACCUCCGAAGCUGUGUGCUACUGCUCCUGAGACCAAGUAGACUCCCUGGGAGCGCCAGUGUCUUGGACACAUUCCAACCUGUGUAAUUACAUUCUGCCUGUUAAAC